CUUAGAAAAAUUCUGUUGAAUCACCUUGCUCCUUCUGAGGGAGGAAAUAGGGCUUAACCAUAACUUUUUACAGUGGAGCGUUGCUCAACUUGUCUGAGUAUAUUGUUGGACAAUGGAAGGCAUACUUAGAGGGUGUCCUCAACCCUGUCAUCUCACUUUCCAUGGUGGAAGCAGAGAAUGGAUACCCAGCAUCUCGACCAGAGAAAGUAGCCUGCCCUCUUCAGGUUAAGGGAGCAACCCUGCCUCAAGUAAAGGACUUCAGAAUUGAUGGACAAGGAAACUCAAGAACCAAAUGCUGGGAGACACGAGGGAGGAAUAAACCAAAAGAAUGACAAGGAUCCAGCAAAGAGUGACUGAACAGGAGCUUGCAGAUUCUGGCUCAUAUGGAAGCUGUUUGGACGUGCGCGUUCCCCCUCGUCUCAUUUUAAUCACUCCCUGCAGCCUAACACCUCCUCCCCCUACCUCCCUGUCCCUGCUCAACAGGGAAGCCAGAGUUCAGUGACCAACCUCUGUGCACGCUAGGUCGGCAUGGCACGCAAACUCAUCCCCGCGCUACCCCCCCUCCUGCACACAAAGUCUAAUGGAUUAUAAACACAAUCCCUCUGCUGCUCAAUUUACAUUGCUCCUGUUCUGGACACCGUAUUCGGUAAGGAUCUUUUGAGGAGCCCGAACGAAAGGAGAAGUGGUCCCAUUAGCAUAGAGUGCAUUAGAGGAAAAAUAGAGUUCUUUAUGAUUUCAGACUGAUGCAAACUAAACUUCCUGCUUAUUACUGAUUGUAAUACAUCUGUGGACAGCUACUACAGCUGAGAUCAAAUCUAUGAGUUACUCUAAAAUAUUUACCUGAUAUCCUUUUUCAGGCACUCACCCCCAACCGAUACCUAAAAUUCCUCUUUUGAUCGCUUCAUAAGUCUACAGUCAAUAAAUGACAUUCAUUUGGAAGGUCCCAUUAUGAAGUGAAGUAGGUCCUAAAACUUUCCAGAGAUGCAGCUUUCAAUUAUUUCUGCUCGCUUUAUAUCACCAGUCAGUUUUGGGCAGUUUGCAAUUAAUAUGUAACUGUUAGUGACAUUAAUUUCAAAAUAAAAAAAGGUAAACAGAUUUUGUAUUACAUAUAACAAAAAAGCCCAUCUAACAAUAAUUAUAGAAAUAUUGUUAAUGAUAUGUAUAAUUCUUUAAAUAUGGAACAUUGGAAAAAAAAAAUUAAGAAAAUAUUAAUACAAAGCCACUCUUGCAUUGGCUAUGUAUUCCUUCAUUUUCAACUUAAAGGUUUUGCUUGCAUUGCUGAUGAACAAUGUUGGAAUUUUGGUACCAAAUUGACAAUAAAAGUAAUCCUGACUGUAUGCUUUGAAGAAUUGAAAUGACAAUUCUGGUUAUCAACUUAUAUGUUACAACAUUUCCAUUUAAACAUUUCCAUUUAGCAAGCAGUGGGACAGGCAACCUCAUUAAAGUAAAAAGGAGAUCAAGGAAGUUUCCUUACUGUUUUCACUUCUUACAAUGAGGGACUGCUGCCAAGUUAAGAAGAUGCAGUCCAUCUUAAUCCCUUAACUUAUAUAUAUAUUUUAUUUACAUAAUUAAACUUGAAUCCAUCUGAUUUGAUUGGAUUUUAAUUUUUUAGGGUGCCCGAGACUUCAUUACAAAGGAUAAAUGGUUAAAAAAAACAAACAAAAACUGUUAAUAUUACACGCUUUGCAUAUUUGAAAUAACAGUUUAAGAAAUGCCUAUGGCAUUUUAUCAAAACAGGUCUCCAUAUAUUCCAACAAGCAGUUUCCUUUUGUUCAUACUUUUAAUCUUUAAAAAAUAGCAAACUCAGGCCACCACACUAUUACAUUCUUCCAUAUACAAAGUAUAUCCCUUGUACCCUGUUAAAAGAUGUGUAUCUGUGUUCGACCAUGACCUUUUUAUGUUGUCUGUUAUGCUUUGACACUAUUCACAAUUUCUAUUUACAAUAAUUAAGAUUUUAUUAUUGGUAUAUGCAAAAUGCUUAACGUUUACAAUCAGUCAAAAGUGUUGUUAUAUUUUCCAACUCACUCUCAGAGGAAGACGGUCAGAUCAAACAGCAAACUGAUAUGC